GCCUUGGGUUCUGCUUUCUAGAGGACUUGUGCUAGGGCAGUUGAUGGGGUUGCUGCUGCCACCACCGAACUUGCAGAGUGGAGAUGACUAAGAUACCAUGGGCCUGGUAUCUUUCCAGAGGAGAUGCAGAACCAGUAUUGUACCAAGAUCUGAGAAAAACUUCUCCAGAGGUUCCACAGAAAAGACUUGAACUGGAACACCGAAUCUUCCUGGGGCUUGAGCCUGAUGCCCUUCAGGUGGGAACUAAACUGCCUGCUCUCCUGGGCCUCUGACUUGCAACGCACCCUGCAUACCUUGGGACUGGCCCACCUCCAUAAUCACGGCCAGCAGCAGGACUGGGACAGCAGGAUCUCCAGAAUGUUCGCCCCAAGUGCUUCGUCUUCCGCGUUAGCCAUUCAACAUGAUGAAGCAACAGAGACCCACGGGGAUGAAGUGAAUUGCUUGAAAUCCCCCAACAGUUGCUGAUGAAGCCAGGAAAAGAAUUCAAGCUUCCUGACUUCCAAUUCUAUGUCCUCUCCAUCCCACAGCACAUAAGAUACAAUUAUAAC
rnacentral:lncRNA from 1 species